rnacentral:lncRNA from 1 species
ACACUAUAAUUUCGAGUUCCAUCUGUAUAAAAACACUAUGUAUAUAAGAUGUACAGUAAUUUAAAAAGUUUUUUUUAUAAUUCGUUCAUUCAAUUAUUUCUUCCACCGCUCACCGAUUUUUAUAUAGCGUCCCCAAUAUGACUGGGAGCUUGGAACGCCUCCUUAGACCACUCCAGCGCCGACUGGGGGGCGGUACCGGCCACUUUGAGAACCACCGAUUUAGGCUAACCCCGUAUUACGGGUAUGUAGGUAGGAGAGGAGAGCGUUUGUUUUCGAUUUGUUUCCACCAGGUUUUUUGUAAUAAAUUGGAAACUUUGUAAAAUUAAAACUUAUGGAGAUUGAGAAGAGUACGAAUUAAUAAUGGGCAUAUUUGGAUAAGGAUUUGGAAAUAAUUACGCGAUAUAUGUCGGUAUUCGACCAUCGGAUGAGUUUUUGUAGAAGCGGCUGGGUUUUAUUGGGAAGACUAGCCACCCAACAAAAUAAUUGCCGAUUUAAAACCAAUUGGAGAAAUGACGGUAUACCCCUACACACACCAUGGCUUAUUAAUAAAUCUUCUGAUUAAGGAAGAAAAAGAGGCGGUCGAAAUGGACGUUUUGGUAGGUGGAUGGCCGGUCUAGACUAGUAGUAUAUAGAGAGGCGUCGAAGAUUAGACGGGUGUCUCGCCCCCACCUAGGUCGGGUCGGGCCAGGCCAGCGGUUUGGAGACGAGCCGGUGGCCGUAAAUCUGCUCCGCUAAUUUUCUUAUAUCCAUAAAUAAUAGGAAUACUUCGGAUUUACGUUAACGAUUUUCUCGCAUCGGUGGUAAAGUAUCGCUUAAUUCCAUUCUGGCUUUUUCUAGCUAAGUCGACGUUUUUUAGUUUUCUGUAGCGUUUCCAUCGACAAUUUCCAGCCAAAGGUUUUAUAUAAUAAAUCGGAGACGAAGAAGAAAACUGGUGGCACUUUAACUAAUAAAUCUAUAUAACUUAUAUAUAAUGGUGGUAGGCGCUAGAAGGUGGGGAAUAGCCGAUUAGAAUACGUAGCCAAAAAAUCGACGGGCCAGUAAAUGUUUUCAUCCAGUUAACGGUCGAUAGAAAAUUAACGAGAAACCAUCCGGUAUUUUCUUAAACCGCAUCGAUUUGGUUCCGGUACGACACCCGCCAAAGCCGGAAAGAACCUAGACGGCGAUUCGGGCGGCGCGCCAUUAGUGGCUAACGGUGGAUAGUUGUUCAAAGGGCGCCAGGACGGCUAACCUAGCGUCCCAGAGAUACUACGGACAUCGGCUUUUACCAUCGGGUUUUAAAGAGGAGAGAAUUUCCUAGCCGACUUAAUUUCGGGCCCGACCGCCAUAAAUGUGGCCGAGCCAAAAAUAUAGCGGUAGGUAUACGAUUGGGUAACGACUAACCGAAGGCGAUUUUCUUUUCAGGACAUGGGAGCCCGUGGCAACAUCCCACGCGUCAUCAGCAAGUGAAGAGUGGCUGUAAUUCCCGAAUAAAAGACAUUUGAUUUAUCUAGUACGACUCCGCUUGUUCAUUGGCUGGUUUCCUUCCAUUUUUGCGAAGCUAUUAGUAUUGACGGAAGUAAAGUCGAAUGGUGGUGCUUUGGUUACGCGCACCACCAUUGGCGCUCGACUAUCUUUUAACUUUUUUCUGUCGGAGUUCGACUCCGGCUAAUAACUGUCGGCGGUGGUUGGAAAAAGAGGAGAUUCGGUCGGCCGAUUCCACCCACCACUACCCGAGCCAAGAAAAAUCCCCACCUUCGCCUAUUUCUCCGGUAAGUAAUGGGAAGGAAGGAGAACCUCAUUUUUAUCCCGGUUUUAAACCACCGCCGGCGCUCCCGAAAAUCGGCAAAUCCAGUUUUUACCUCCGAUUUUCCGUCCCGGCUGGGCCCUUUCCAUUCGGAUCUCGCAGCCUUCACCCGGCAAGAGUUAAGGCCGGUUUAUAGUUCGACUCCAGCGUGGAGUUCGCUGCGCGGAGCUCGCCGAGUUCCGUUCGGUUCGCC